rnacentral:rRNA from 1 species
ACUAAGCGUACACGGUGGAUGCCCUGGCAGUCAGAGGCGAUGAAGGACGUGCUAAUCUGCGAUAAGCGUCGGUAAGGUGAUAUGAACCGUUAUAACCGGCGAUUUCCGAAUGGGGAAACCCAGUGUGAUUCGUCACACUAUCAUUAACUGAAUCCAUAGGUUAAUGAGGCGAACCGGGGGAACUGAAACAUCUAAGUACCCCGAGGAAAAGAAAUCAACCGAGAUUCCCCCAGUAGCGGCGAGCGAACGGGGAGCAGCCCAGAGCCUGAAUCAGUGUGUGUGUUAGUGGAAGCGUCUGGAAAGGCGCGCGAUACAGGGUGACAGCCCCGUACACAAAAAUGCACAUGCUGUGAGCUCGAUGAGUAGGGCGGGACACGUGGUAUCCUGUCUGAAUAUGGGGGGACCAUCCUCCAAGGCUAAAUACUCCUGACUGACCGAUAGUGAACCAGUACCGUGAGGGAAAGGCGAAAAGAACCCCGGCGAGGGGAGUGAAAAAGAACCUGAAACCGUGUACGUACAAGCAGUGGGAGCCUCUUUAUGGGGUGACUGCGUACCUUUUGUAUAAUGGGUCAGCGACUUAUAUUCUGUAGCAAGGUUAACCGAAUAGGGGAGCCGAAGGGAAACCGAGUCUUAACUGGGCGUUAAGUUGCAGGGUAUAGACCCGAAACCCGGUGAUCUAGCCAUGGGCAGGUUGAAGGUUGGGUAACACUAACUGGAGGACCGAACCGACUAAUGUUGAAAAAUUAGCGGAUGACUUGUGGCUGGGGGUGAAAGGCCAAUCAAACCGGGAGAUAGCUGGUUCUCCCCGAAAGCUAUUUAGGUAGCGCCUCGUGAAUUCAUCUCCGGGGGUAGAGCACUGUUUCGGCAAGGGGGUCAUCCCGACUUACCAACCCGAUGCAAACUGCGAAUACCGGAGAAUGUUAUCACGGGAGACACACGGCGGGUGCUAACGUCCGUCGUGAAGAGGGAAACAACCCAGACCGCCAGCUAAGGUCCCAAAGUCAUGGUUAAGUGGGAAACGAUGUGGGAAGGCCCAGACAGCCAGGAUGUUGGCUUAGAAGCAGCCAUCAUUUAAAGAAAGCGUAAUAGCUCACUGGUCGAGUCGGCCUGCGCGGAAGAUGUAACGGGGCUAAACCAUGCACCGAAGCUGCGGCAGCGACGCUUAUGCGUUGUUGGGUAGGGGAGCGUUCUGUAAGCCUGCGAAGGUGUACUGUGAGGUAUGCUGGAGGUAUCAGAAGUGCGAAUGCUGACAUAAGUAACGAUAAAGCGGGUGAAAAGCCCGCUCGCCGGAAGACCAAGGGUUCCUGUCCAACGUUAAUCGGGGCAGGGUGAGUCGACCCCUAAGGCGAGGCCGAAAGGCGUAGUCGAUGGGAAACAGGUUAAUAUUCCUGUACUUGGUGUUACUGCGAAGGGGGGACGGAGAAGGCUAUGUUGGCCGGGCGACGGUUGUCCCGGUUUAAGCGUGUAGGCUGGUUUUCCAGGCAAAUCCGGAAAAUCAAGGCUGAGGCGUGAUGACGAGGCACUACGGUGCUGAAGCAACAAAUGCCCUGCUUCCAGGAAAAGCCUCUAAGCAUCAGGUAACAUCAAAUCGUACCCCAAACCGACACAGGUGGUCAGGUAGAGAAUACCAAGGCGCUUGAGAGAACUCGGGUGAAGGAACUAGGCAAAAUGGUGCCGUAACUUCGGGAGAAGGCACGCUGAUACGUAGGUGAAGCGACUUGCUCGUGGAGCUGAAAUCAGUCGAAGAUACCAGCUGGCUGCAACUGUUUAUUAAAAACACAGCACUGUGCAAACACGAAAGUGGACGUAUACGGUGUGACGCCUGCCCGGUGCCGGAAGGUUAAUUGAUGGGGUUAGCGGUAACGCGAAGCUCUUGAUCGAAGCCCCGGUAAACGGCGGCCGUAACUAUAACGGUCCUAAGGUAGCGAAAUUCCUUGUCGGGUAAGUUCCGACCUGCACGAAUGGCGUAAUGAUGGCCAGGCUGUCUCCACCCGAGACUCAGUGAAAUUGAACUCGCUGUGAAGAUGCAGUGUACCCGCGGCAAGACGGAAAGACCCCGUGAACCUUUACUAUAGCUUGACACUGAACAUUGAGCCUUGAUGUGUAGGAUAGGUGGGAGGCUUUGAAGUGUGGACGCCAGUCUGCAUGGAGCCGACCUUGAAAUACCACCCUUUAAUGUUUGAUGUUCUAACGUUGGCCCCUAAUCGGGGUUGCGGACAGUGUCUGGUGGGUAGUUUGACUGGGGCGGUCUCCUCCUAAAGAGUAACGGAGGAGCACGAAGGUUGGCUAAUCCUGGUCGGACAUCAGGAGGUUAGUGCAAUGGCAUAAGCCAGCUUGACUGCGAGCGUGACGGCGCGAGCAGGUGCGAAAGCAGGUCAUAGUGAUCCGGUGGUUCUGAAUGGAAGGGCCAUCGCUCAACGGAUAAAAGGUACUCCGGGGAUAACAGGCUGAUACCGCCCAAGAGUUCAUAUCGACGGCGGUGUUUGGCACCUCGAUGUCGGCUCAUCACAUCCUGGGGCUGAAGUAGGUCCCAAGGGUAUGGCUGUUCGCCAUUUAAAGUGGUACGCGAGCUGGGUUUAGAACGUCGUGAGACAGUUCGGUCCCUAUCUGCCGUGGGCGCUGGAGAACUGAGGGGGGCUGCUCCUAGUACGAGAGGACCGGAGUGGACGCAUCACUGGUGUUCGGGUUGUCAUGCCAAUGGCACUGCCCGGUAGCUAAAUGCGGAAGAGAUAAGUGCUGAAAGCAUCUAAGCACGAAACUUGCCCCGAGAUGAGUUCUCCCUGACUCCCUGAGAGUCCUGAAGGAACGUUGAAGACGACGACGUUGAUAGGCCGGGUGUGUAAGCGCAGCGAUGCGUUGAGCUAACCGGUACUAAUGAACCGUGAGGCUUAACC